UGGGGAAUUUUGGACAAUGGGGGAAACCCUGAUCCAGCCAUCCCGCGUGUGCGAUGAAGGCCUUCGGGUUGUAAAGCACUUUUGGCAGGAAAGAAACGUCAUGGGUUAAUACCCCGUGAAACUGACGGUACCUGCAGAAUAAGCACCGGCUAACUACGUGCCAGCAGCCGCGGUAAUACGUAGGGUGCAAGCGUUAAUCGGAAUUACUGGGCGUAAAGCGUGCGCAGGCGGUUCGGAAAGAAAGAUGUGAAAUCCCAGAGCUCAACUUUGGAACUGCAUUUUUAACUACCGGGCUAGAGUGUGUCAGAGGGAGGUGGAAUUCCGCGUGUAGCAGUGAAAUGCGUAGAUAUGCGGAGGAACUCCGAUGGCGAAGGCAGCCGCCUGGGAUAACACUGACGCUCAUGCACGAAAGCGUGGGGAGCAAACAGG
rnacentral:rRNA from 1 species